AGGGAAGCAAAGGAGAGAGAGGACCCAUGGGCGUUCCAGGUGCUCAAGGUCUGAGUGGACGCAAAGGAGAGAGAGGACCCAUGGGCGUUCCAGGUGCUCAAGGUCUGAGUGGACGCAAAGGAGACAAGGGCUUCCAAAGAAGAGGUGGACCCAAAGGAGACAUUGUAGACUCCGACGUGGAGGGGCUAGCUGGUGAGAAAGGGGAAAAGUAAGACCAGUCAUUUUGAACUUUCUGAAGUUGACCUGUUGAUAUUUAAAUAUUGAAAGCAAAGACAAAUAAUAUACUAUUUGACUGAGACCCA